rnacentral:rRNA from 1 species
GAUGAACGCUGGCGGCGUGCCUAAUACAUGCAAGUCGAGCGAACAGACGAGGAGCUUGCUCCUCUGACGUUAGCGGCGGACGGGUGAGUAACACGUGGAUAACCUACCUAUAAGACUGGGAUAACUUCGGGAAACCGGAGCUAAUACCGGAUAAUAUAUUGAACCGCAUGGUUCAAUAGUGAAAGACGGUUUUGCUGUCACUUAUAGAUGGAUCCGCGCCUCAUUAGCUAGUUGGUAAGGUAACGGCUUACCAAGGCAACGAUGAGUAGCCGACCUGAGAGGGUGAUCGGCCACACUGGAACUGAGACACGGUCCAGACUCCUACGGGAGGCAGCAGUAGGGAAUCUUCCGCAAUGGGCGAAAGCCUGACGGAGCAACGCCGCGUGAGUGAUGAAGGUCUUCGGAUCGUAAAACUCUGUUAUUAGGGAAGAACAAAUGUGUAAGUAACUAUGCACGUCUUGACGGUACCUAAUCAGAAAGCCACGGCUAACUACGUG